rnacentral:rRNA from 1 species
GCUAAAAAUUUAGCCCAUAUAACCCUUAUGCCUCUUUAAACCUAUUGAAACCAAAUAAAACAUUUUACUAUUUUAGUACAGGAGAUCAAAAAAUAACCAAGCGCUUCAAACAUAGUACCGCAAGGGAAAAAUGAAAUAAAGAUGAAACAGAUAUUAAGCCCAAAAUAGCAGAGAUUCCAUCCCC